rnacentral:sRNA from 1 species
AACAGAGGACAUCACACUUAGAGACU